GAUGGCACUGUAUCAAUUGCACAAAUGAUGACCGAUUCCUCAGUACCAGAAUGUAAGGCUGGAGAGUAAAGAGAGGAAUGAGAUUCCUGAACUAGAGGAGGCUUCAAACCUGAGCUUCUGGGAAGGAUGGACUCAGAGACUGCCUUUCCUCUGCCUUCCUGAGUGGCAAGGUAUGCCAGUGAGAAAAAUGAUGUUCUGGCCUUGGAACCACCUCCCAUGGGACCAGAUGCCAAGAUGAAUCCAAUGGAAUCUGAUCUGGAACCACCCCCAGGAGGUCAGAAGUAAUUUCCUGGUUUGAUUCCUGUCCAGAGAAAGAACCUACAGGAGCUAAGAACUAUUUCAGGGCUGUUCCAGCCAUUCUAUUCUACUUGGAGAAGAGUCUGGGUGUCUGGUUCAACUUGGAAUCAUCCCCAAAUGGGACCCUUAUUUCUGGGGAAGCAUGAACUUACUUUUUUUUUUUAACCUUUAUCUUCCAUCUUGGA
rnacentral:lncRNA from 1 species